rnacentral:rRNA from 1 species
AUUGAACGCUGGCGGCAGGCUUAACACAUGCAAGUCGAGCGGGCGAGGUUGCUUCGGUAACUGAGCUAGCGGCGGACGGGUGAGUAAUGCUUAGGAAUCUGCCUAUUAGUGGGGGACAACAUUCCGAAAGGAAUGCUAAUACCGCAUACGCCCUACGGGGGAAAGCAGGGGAUCUUCGGACCUUGCGCUAGUAGAUGAGCCUAAGUCAGAUUAGCUAGUUGGUGGGGUAAAGGCCUACCAAGGCGACGAUCUGUAGCGGGUCUGAGAGGAUGAUCAGCCACACUGGGACUGAGACACGGCCCAGACUCCUACGGGAGGAAGCAGUGGGGAAUAUUGGACAAUGGGCGGAAGCCUGAUCCAGCCAUGCCGCGUGUGUGAAGAAGGCCUUUUGGUUGUAAAGCACUUUAAGCGAGGAGGAGGCUACUUGGAUUAAUACUCUAGGAUAGUGGACGUUACUUGCAGAAUAAGCACCGGCUAACUCUGUGCCAGCAGCCGCCGCGG